GGAGUGGGGAGGCCAGGCGGGCCGGCGGACUCGUCCUGGAUGCUUGCACCCCGUGCCCCCUUCGCCCAGGGUAUGAUGAGCGGCGAAGUCGGGGACCUGAGCCCCCAGCAGCAGGAGGCACUGGCCCAGGUGAUCCAGCUGUAUGACUCGGGUGGUCUGCGCGGCUAUGACUACAAGGGCUGCCUGGUAUGGUUCGACAUCAUCGGGACCCUUGACCCCUAGGGCCUCCUGCUGUCAGCCUCCAAGCAGGAGCUGAUCCGGAAGCGCAGCAAGGUCUGCAAGCUGCUUUUGCAACGGUGUGAGCUGCAGAGUCAGAAGCUGGGCAGGAAGGUUGAGACGAUGCUGAUGGUGUUCGACAGGGAGGGGCUGAGCCUCAAACACCUGUGGAAGCCAGCUGUGGAGGUCUACCAGCAGCAGGAAAUGGCAGAACCUCGGUCUAUCCAACUUCUGUCCAACCCAUGCCCGGCAGCUGUGACUGUGUAUCCAAGUCCUCUCUGGUCCAGCUUCUCCAGGGAGUUUCAUGUGUUUGAGCCCCCAAGCUGUUCCCCGUGGCCUUCAACUUGGUCCAGCUGUUCAUGAGUGAGGAGACUCGAAGGAAGAUGGUGAUUCUGGGAGGUGGCAGUUCGCAUCAGAUGGAGCAGACAUCAGCUUUGGGAUUUUCCUGAAGACCAAUAUGGGGGAGUAGCAGCGGGCCAGGGAGAUGACAGAGGUGCUGGUCAGCCAGCGCUACAAUGCCCACCUGGUGCCUGAGGAUGGGAGCCUCACCUGUCUCCAGGCCGGCGUCUAUGUCCUGCGCUUCGACAACACCUACAGCCUGAUGCACACCAAGAAGGUCACCUACACUGUGGAGGUGCUGCUCUCUGACAAGGCCUCUGAGGGGAGGAUUCAGGGUCUUGGGGCAACAAGACAGUCUCCACUGCAAUGAAGACCUUGGCUGCCCCGUGCCUGUGCUCUCCAAUCCCUUAGCAGCCCCUCCCUGUCCCCUGCUCUCCCAGGCAGGGUGCUGCUAGAGGUGACCGCAGAGAGCCACCCACCUUGCAUCACCAUCUCAGCUCCCUCUGGGCCCACCUGGCUCGGUGGCCAAGGAGGAAGAGGACCCCCAGUGCAUAGGCCACCCUGAGGAUUCAGAUGGGCACCUCAUCCCCGUUCACAGAGAAUGAGGAUGAAAACCCUGAAGAUGAACCCAAGUCUACUGAGAAAGGGUCCUACCUGCAGAAGCUACACUUUUGGCCCAUCCCUGGACUCACCCUGGCAUCCUGAUUUGGGGGUGUGCACGUGAGCCCCCCGGACCUGCAGGGAGCACAGCUUCAGGCCUGAAGGGCAGGGAAGCCCCAUUCUCUGCAUGUAGGGGCUCAGCAGGGCUGGGCAGGGUCAGCUGGAAGCCAUUGGGUGGAGGGACAGGCAAUGCUGAGGGUCUUGGUUCCAACCACCAGCCUUCCAGGGUUGUUCUACCACCUUUGAAGGGAAAAUCAGAAACAGAGAGUGAGACCCAGCAAGUAAAGUCAUCAGGAGGAAGAGCCAUGCUCAGCCUUACGCACAGCUGAGAGGGUGCAACUGAGUCUCCAGGGCACUCCCAGGGUCACCCCCACCCCUGCCACCUGCUGUGAUCUAGCCGACAUUCAGCCUGGGUUCUUCCCAGCUCUGAGGAGGGGCCAGGACAGAAGCAGAGCUGCAGGGAGGUGGAACAAAUAUGCUGGGAUUCAGAGUGGAGCUGUCAUCCCAGGGCACUCAUCCUGGAGUCUGACUUGCUUCUUGGAGAACCAUCAGGCUCUUCCUUUACCUUUGUCUCACCAAGGGGACAUCUGAAGCUUGGCUGCCCAUCCCCCCCCCCCCCCCCCCCCCCCCCGCUCCAAAUGCAACUCAGCGGUUGGCCAGUAAAGGCUUCUGUUUCUCAAAGGCUGGCUCUCCUGGGGCCCAAAGCCCACUGUCAGGACCAUCACCUGCUCUGCUGGAAGGACUGCACCCAGCAGGGCAGUCCACGCCCAGGAAGGAGCCCAGGAAGCUGCCGAUCUGGCUGUGGCUCUGUGGUUGACACCAGGUGGCAAUGAAGCCAUUAACUGUGACCUAGAAGCCCAGACUGUGCUGUGCUGCCCCCUCCCCAUCCUGCCCCCUACCCUCUGGCUGGCCAGGCCAGUGGGCCCCAGUACCUCUGAAGACCUGACCCCAGGGUGGCUCAGCCCUCAGCUCUGGAUCCCCACCCCUGUACUGCUGUCCCACAGGGUGGACUGCUGUCCACCAGGUGACGUCCUUGGGAAUGAGUGGUCAGAUGACCCUAUAAAAUGAGUCCUUGCUGCAAAGCAUUAGCAUCCUGGAACCCAGGCCCCUUCCAGGGACUAGAAACCUCAGCCACCACUGUCCAGGUGCUUCUUGUCAGAAAGAAGCCCAGCUCUAGUCCCUUUCCCACUCUCAAAUUCUGUGCUUUAAUUUUUAUUCUUGUGUUUUGCCCAAGUUAAUAGGAGAUUUCUUGAUUUCCCAGGACCUGUCUUAGGCAAAAACAUGAUGAGACUUGGGAAAGUGGGGUCUUCAAGUGUACCAGGUAAAAUCCUUGGGGCCCCAGCCUUCCAUCUGUGGCAGCUCCAUCUUUCAUGGUGGAGCACAGAGCCCACGCAGGGCUCUGCUCUCAUAAAAAGCAGACUAUCUUGGAGUUCCCUGGUGGCUCAGAGGGUUAAGGUUCUGACAUUUUCACUGAUGUGGCAUGGGUUCAACUCCUGGACUGGGAAUUUCCCUAAUUCUCAGGCAUGGCCAAAAAUAUAAAUAAAUAAGUAAGCAAGCUAACUAAAUGAAACUAAAUGCCAAAAGCCAGUGCUAUGGAGGACAUGGCCACCUGGGGCUGGGAGAAAAUCUGUACUAGGUUUUUCUGGGCCCAACUGUUGUCAUGAUGGGGAAUCACAAUGCCUUACUUCCACCUUCAUGCCCCCCACCUAAAAAUAAAGGGUUCGUGGACUUUGCCUUUCUAACCACCCUAGCCACCUUUCCCCCAUCAGCACUGCCUCAAGUGGUUUCCCCGCAGGUGCCAAGAUAUCUCUGCCCCAUGUACAAGGGUUCCCUGAGGCUCUGAUCACAGAGAACUUAUACAAAUAUGGCUGUAAAAGGGUCAGGUGUGAGCACUGGAGCCUCUACAUCCCAGAGCUGGCAGAAAGCACUCAUGUUGAGCAGAGAGGGCAGCUUUGGAAAUACCUAGAGAGGUGAGAACAGAAUCUACUACAUGGCAAGGGGGUAGGUCCACUUUGGGGGCUAGAAAGGGAACAUGUCUUCAGCAGCCCCCAUCCAGAGAGGGGCUGGCUCACCCAAAGCUAGGUUUUUUGUACACAUUCAUUCAUCAACAUUUACUGAGUGUCUGCUGAGAGCCAGGCACUGCAGGCCCUGGGGACUCCAGGAAGGCUGGGCUGAUCUGACUCUGCUCAAAGGAAACUUACCUGUAUUGAGGGAGGCAGAAGUGACUUGGAUGAUCCUCUGAUCUAUUGUCAAGUAGGCAUGUCCCUACCAUGUGUGCUUGGAGAGGCAGAAGCCAAAUUCUAGGGGGACCUCCAGCCAGGAAGCCUGAUGAGGGAUCAGAUGUGCUUUGCCCAAGGAAGGGACCCCUGGAGGAGAGCUGAGAGAUGUGUGGGGUGACCAGAGGCACAUGAGCCUUCCAGACUGAGGAAUGGGGUGGGGGCGGCUGUGGGAUGGUUGAAGCCCAAGGAAAGCUCAAAGGGCUCUUGGGUGACGCUGGUAGUGGGUCUCUGAUGUUUAUGAUUUCUUUGUGAACAUCUGUGGCCACACAUUUGAUAGUUAUUAAUAAAACCAUUUUAUAAUGCAGGUUACAAAACAGCUCUGCUGUUUGUCAGGAAGGAGUGGCAAAAUCUUGGCAGGAGGCCACAGAUCAAAACUCAUACUCAAAAUGAGGUGGUUGGAAAUAACUAGGCCUCUUCUGUCCAGAGGAAUGGAGGCAGUUGCCAGCGGUUCCCAGCACAUCUCCUGGCUGGAAAGCUCCACAAUCUUCCAAGGCAGGGGCAGGGGGAUUGCAAGUGAGGGAACUGUAGGGGUUGAUUUUUUUGGGGGGGGGGCAUGUCUGAGGCACACAGAAGUUCCCACACCAAGGAUUGAACCCACACCACAGCUGCAACCCAAAUCACAGCAGUGACAACUCCAGACCCUUAACUCACUGAGCCUCCAGGGAACUCCCUGUAGGGAUGUUCUGAAUGCAUUUGGGAAGGCUCUCCUGUUCCCCAAAUUCCUACCCAAGUCUGGCUCACCUUCCAAGAGCCCAGGCUGGAGGGCAUGCCACAGCCUGGGCUCUGGUGGGACAGUCACAGCUUCACCAGAGCUCCAUGGCAUGGCACUCCACAAUUUGCACAGUGCCUUUACAUGCAGCCCUGAAGCACAUGGAAAUUAUAGCUACACUUUACAGACCCAGUAAAAAAGCCUUGGCAAGGAGGAGAGCCUUAUCCAAACAUUCCGUGUCCAAUGGCAGAGGUGGAGCCAGAGCUCCAGUUAGCUCCCAGCAGUGCCCCUGCCCUGCCUCUCAGGGAAGGAGAGGGUCAAUGUGGGCAAGUGGGUCUCUGCCAGGGAGGGCCAGCCUGAGGUAGGGGGCGCACAGUGGGACAGAGUGAGGAGCUAGGUUCCUGGGAUGGGGUCCCCAGAGUCUGAACAAAGCUGCUUGGACAUCUGUGCCUCUUGGUGGAACAUAAUGGUGCCAGCUCCACGCCAAACCUACUGUGCACCAGGCCUGAGCUGAAGCAUCAUCCCCAGUUUACAGAUGAGAGUGAGGCUCAGGGCAGGAAGUGACUGAGCAUCUCACACAACCCAAGAGGUGGAGGUAAGAUGUGAACCCAGGCCCAUCUGUGCAGACAGCACUGGAAUUUGGUGAGCCGACCUCCCACCGGAAAAGACGGGGCUGCCGCAGGCCUGGGCUGCAGGGUGCUUGGGGAGCUGUGGUCACCUCACCUUCAGCCAUCAGAGGGCGCAGUUGGGCCAGCAGUGUCUCUGUCCUCAGAGAAGCAGGAAUGUGGGGGAGUGGCGCUCAACAUUCUGCUCAAAUAGGGUGCUUUGCUACACCAGCCAAAGCCCAAGAUACCAAGGUUACCAGGCCCAGGCUGUUUGGGGCUUUCAGGAGUGGUAGGUGGCCUGACCAGGGUUCAGAUCCUGGCUGUGUUGCUUGCUGGCUUGCUUUCUAAGUAUCUCUGGACUCCAUCUUCCUCCCAUGGCCAUUGCUCUAGUUGGGGCCUCUUGCUUGGAUUAGUAGAAAGGCAUCCGUGAGUCUCCCUGUGAUCAUUCCCAUCCCCUUCUAUCCAGACUCCACAGGGAAGCCAGAAAAACCUUUCUGAAAUGAAAAUCUGCUCCCAUCACUCCCUUCAUAAGCCCUUCACUGGCUCCUUAUUUCCCCCUGAGAGGGGUCAUUCAGUGGUGACUUGCAAGGCUCUCUGGGAACUUAACCCGCAUCCACCCAAUUUGAUGCAUUGGCUUGAACUCACCGAUACUUCAAGCUCCUUCCUGCCUCCCUGCAUUUGUUCAUGCUGAAUCCUCAACCUGCACUCCCUCCCCAGUCAUGUUCUGUGCACCUUCAAGGCUCCUAGAGACUUCUUCUGGGAGGCCUUCCCUAAGCCCCUUCCCCACCCAGCCUCCAGCCAAGUUCAGGAGCCUUCUCCACACUCUCAGAGCAACUGGACCAGUGCUUGUAACACAGUGGAGUCAUCAUCUGCCUCGUGUCUGACUCCUGUUCACCUCCAGCCACUAGUCCAGGCUACACUCCCCAGAAUAAAGCCUUGCAAAGAACUUAAGAA
rnacentral:lncRNA from 1 species